rnacentral:rRNA from 1 species
AUGGCUCAGAUUGAACGCUGGCGGCAGGCCUAACACAUGCAAGUCGAACGGUAACAGGAAGCAGCUUGCUGCUUGCUGACGAGUGGCGGACGGGUGAGUAAUGUCUGGGAAACUGCCCGAUGAGGGGGAUAACUACUGGAAACGGUAGCUAAUACCGCAUAAUGUCGCAAGACCAAAGAGGGGGGACCUUCGGGCCUCUUGCCAUCGGAUGUGCCCAGAUGGGAUUAGCUUGUUGGUGAGGUAACGGCUCACCAAGGCGACGAUCCCUAGCUGGUCUGAGAGGAUGACCAGCCACACUGGAACUGAGACACGGUCCAGACUCCUACGGGAGGCAGCAGUGGGGAAUAUUGCACAAUGGGCGCAAGCCUGAUGCAGCCAAUGCCGCGUGUAUGAAGAAGGCCUUUGGGUUGUAAAGUACUUUCAGCGGGGAGGAAGGGGUUAAGGUUAAUAACCUUAGCCAUUGACGUUACCCGCAGAAGAAGCACCGGCUAACUCCGUGCCAGCCGCCGC